GCUGUAGUGGCGUUUGUAGCAUUUUCAUGUUCUGACAGGAUCGCGGAUGGCAAAAGGUACAAGUAGAUACAAAUUUGUUUAAAUAAUGAUAUUUGUAUUAAAUUGGCUACAACACUCGCCAGCCAUCUCUCUAUCUUUCUCCUGCCAAAUAGAUACCGUCGUUCGCCGGCUACAACACCUCUCGACAAAAAAAAAAAUUAGACAUGAGAAGAAGAAGGUGAAGGCAGACUUUGAGUUUUGCUUUCCAACCGACGUUCCUUACAAUUUUGGAACUAUUGGCGAUGAUCUAGAUGGAGGUAUCAAUUUGUUUAAGUAAUUUUCAUUUAAUUGUUUUAUUACUUUUUCUAUAUAUGUCUUCCAUUUGUCGCCGGUAUCUAGAUUUCUUUCUCUCUCCAACAUCACGUUUCUUUUCAUCUUCUAGUUUUUCAAUUCAGCUUCUAUUUCUCUAUAUUUUUCCAUAAAGUUUCUAUUCUUUAUUUGUCUUCCAGUAACAUCAGCAACAGUUUUAGGGUUUUUUUUAAUUCAGUUUCUCUUUCUCAAUUCAGUUGGCGCGACAGGCGGCGAUCGGCGAGGAGACUGGCAAAGCAAGAAGAAAGAAAAGGGAGAAGAUUUUGGCAAACGGUGCAAGGGCCUCUAAUUUAUUUAGGGAAUCUUCUAAUUAAAUUUGGUUACAUUUCAUAUUAUGCCUUUUUUGUUCUGAAUUUUCAGUUUUGGGAUUUCCAAGCUCCAUUCAAGAAGUCAGUUGGGCCUCCGAGAAGAUCACCUCUAGAUGGUAAAUUUGAUUGCAACUUCACCUUUAUCACCUUUAUUUUUCUUCUUCUUUUUCUUGAUAUGCAUCCAUUAGUGCGCUAACCUUUUUGUUGCUUGAUGGAAAUAAGUUCUGUAUGUGUGGUUCUUUGCAAUUGUGCACAUAAUUACAAAAUAUUAUCCCAUAUAAUGAAGUAGAUUUGCUCAGUUAUAUGAGUGAAGUAGAAGUGAAGUAGAAGUCCUGGAAUUCUUGCCAUUGGUGAUUAUUUGAAAGUUAUUUCUCUUUUAGCUUCUCUUUCUCUCUCUCUCUCUCUUUCCGGCAGUCUUCUUCCUUCAAGGUCUGCAGCUUCUUCUCAAUCUUUAAUGCUGGCAGAUUCGCCCUUCAAUGUCAUAGCUUCUUUUCUACAAGCUUCUUGCUUUAAAUUUGCAGAUUUUGUGGUUCGUUGGAAUAUAAAGAAGAGCAACAUUAUUGCUAUCUUUUUUUUAUUGUUCUUUUGACAUGUACUAAGGGCUUUGAGCAUAAUUAUUGGUAUCUUUUCUUUUUCCUCUCAUUAUAUCUUGUGUUCCAUAGCCUUCAAACUUUGUACGAAUUAUGAUUUUUUUGUUCGGUGAACUGCUAGAAUUUACUAUCUGGAAUUUGUUGAGCAGCUUUCCUUCUUAAUUAUUUUAAAUUUGAAUGGGUUUUACAUCAGCAUUUUAUGGUGCCUGAAACUAAAAAUUUAUGUUUUCGAAGGUAUCUGCGUUGAAUGAGGCUGUUUCUAGAAGUGUGAAGUUGGUGUUCAAAGCUUUGGAGCAGCGGCUUAACUCUCCAGAGGUACUCCAAUGAUUUGCUGAGUUUUGGUUAUUGAUACGUUUUUCCAUGAAUUGAAGAUAUUAGUUCAUGUUUAAGCCGUGAAAUAUGCUUGAUAUUUCUUUGUCAUGUUUUUCUUUCCCCCUGGAUUAGUAACACUUAGUAUGGAUUAACAAGGUGUUAGUUGAUAUGGAUCUCUCUUCUAUUUUUUUUUUUUUUCUCAAUUAGAUGAUUGCAGAAGCUUUUCUUUCUCUUUUUCUGCAAUUAUUGCUUAUCUUUCAUCGCAAGACCAGUAACUUCUUGCUUCUCCUUCCUUCAUUUUCUUGCUUCUCCUUUGGUCUUUCAAUUUAUUGCUUCUCUUUUAUCUUUUUUCAUUUUCAGUAGCUUUUUUGCUUCUCUUCAAAUUUCAUUUUCAGCAAACAAUGCAAAUUUUUGGACCAGCAUCAUUAUGAAGAAUCAACUUGGUUCUUGGGGAUGGGAAAUGAGUGCAGUCCCCUCUAUUUUUCUCGACCCCAGUCAAACUUUACGUAUAUUUUUUUGGAUGAUUAGUGUAUUAAGAUUGAAAUUUCUCUGGUUUCAUUAUGCAUUUAGUGAUAAAAUGGUCUUUUCCAUUUUACCAUGUUGCUCAAAACUCUUAGAUUCAGACCACCCAUUUCUUGACUGUUUCCUAUGGGAUUGGAGGCCACGUUUGAUCUUUUGGGAGUUCUAUGCUAUCAAGUAAAUUGAUGGUGAAGCAUGUAAAUAAUUUGUAUGCUAUUCUAUUAUUUGUUGAAGCACAUAUUUGAGUUUUGAGAAAUAGAAAAUUUGCAUUGGUUUGAAGAGGUACUUUAAAUCCUUGGAAUUGGUUGCAAAAUUUCAAAAAAAAAAAAGAAUUUACUUUUUUAUCUUGAAAUAAGUUCAUACUAUUUCAUUUUUAUAUAAAAAGACUAGGUGAUGAAUUUUAAUUUGACGUCAUUGAAUAUUAUACAAAAUAUAAAAUGAGAUUACUUCUAUUUAUUUUAGUUAAUGCAGAAUGCGAAUGUUCUAAUUUUUUAGAACAUCAUAAUUGUAGAUGAUUCAAACCUUUCAUCUAUCUCAAUAUUGUUGCACAAUGUAUAUUAUAAUCAAUACUAUUCAUUUUUGGGUAAAUAUUAUGAAACUAUUUGAAGUAUAUCCGCUUUAUUAAAAAUACUCUGAAAAUUUUAAAAUGUUCUCUAAAUUUUCAAACUAUCAAGUUUUAUCAAAUAUAUACCGAAUCUAUUUUUCGUUCACCAGAAACGUGAUGUGACUUACCGGAUGUCACAUUUUAAUUUAUAUUUUAUUUUUUUUAAAUGCAAUGACAAAAAAGAUGUUGUUUAGUACCAUAUCAUUUUAAAAAAAAAUUGCUCUUCUUAAAUUGGAGGAACCAAUUUGCUUCACUCAUUUUCAUUUAAUUUGUUUUUACUACUUUUCCUCGGAUAUUUUCUUUCAGGUUUCUCAAAUAUUAUCAUGGUUCAAAACAGUCGAGAGAUUAAUAGGCUCUUCAUCGAAAUUUUGUCUUGGAUCUUUUAUCAAUUUUCUUCUUAGAUUUUCAUAAAGGCUAUUUUUUUAUUUUGACAUUACAAAAGUUGUAUAUAUAUUAUUCAG
rnacentral:lncRNA from 1 species